GACGAACGCUGGCGGCGUGCUUAACACAUGCAAGUCGAGCGGAAAGGCCCUUCGGGGUACUCGAGCGGCGAACGGGUGAGUAACACGUGAGUAACCUGCCCCAGACUUUGGGAUAACCCUCGGAAACGGGGGCUAAUACCGGAUACGAAACAGCUUCGCAUGGGGUCUGUGUGGAAAGUUUUUCGGUUUGGGAUGGGCUCGCGGCCUAUCAGCUUGUUGGUGGGGUGAUGGCCUACCAAGGCGACGACGGGUAGCCGGCCUGAGAGGGCGACCGGCCACACUGGGACUGAGACACGGCCCAGACUCCUACGGGAGGCAGCAGUGGGGAAUAUUGCACAAUGGGCGGAAGCCUGAUGCAGCGACGCCGCGUGAGGGAUGACGGCCUUCGGGGUGUAAACCUCUUUCAGCAGGGACGAAGCGUAAGUGACGGUACCUGCAGAAGAAGCACCGGCCAACUACGUG
rnacentral:rRNA from 1 species